rnacentral:rRNA from 1 species
AACGAACGCUGGCGGCGUGGAUUAGGCAUGCAAGUCGAACGAGAAAGCACCCUUCGGGGUGCAAGUACAGUGGCGGACUGGUGAGUAACGCGUGGGAAACCUGCCUUCGAGUGGGGGAUAACAGUUCUAACGGACUGCUAAUACCGCAUAACGCUGUUGUUCGCAUGUUCAACAGUUAAAGAUGGCCUCUACAUGUAAGCUGUCGCUUGAUGAUGGUCCCGCGUCCAUUAGCUAGUUGGUGAGGUAACGGCUCACCAAGGCAACAAUGGGUAGCCGGCCUGAGAGGGUGGUCGGCCACACUGGGACUGAGAUACGGCCAGACUCCUACGGAGGCAGCAGUCGAGAGGCUUCGGCAAUGGGGAAAACCCUGACCGAGCGACGUCGCGUGGGUGAUGAAGGUCUUCGGAUCGUAAAACCCUGUCAGGUGGGAGGAAAUGCCAUUCGGUAAAUAGCCGAGUGGCUUGACAGUACCACC